rnacentral:sRNA from 2 species
GCGUCCUGCUGGCCGAAGCCGCGUUCGUGCGCGGCGCGGGGGAACCAGAUCGACCGGGGCGAAUCGCCAUAGGCGCGUAGGGCACUUCCAGCCCGAGCCCGACAGCUAACCUCGUAGGCGUUAUGGAAGGGCAGA